UACGUAGGGGCCGAGCGUUGUCCGGAGUUACUGGGCGUAAAGCGCGCGCAGGCGGCUCGUCAAGCCUGACGUGAAAGCCCCCGGCUCAACCGGGGAGGGUCGUCGGGGACUGGCGAGCUUGAGGUCGGCAGGGGCUGGUGGAAUUCCCGGUGUAGUGGUGAAAUGCGUAGAGAUCGGGAGGAACACCCGUGGCGAAGGCGGCCAGCUGGGCCGGACCUGACGCUGAGGCGCGAAGGCGUGGGGAGCGAACGGG
rnacentral:rRNA from 2 species